UCCACAGUAGGUCAGUGGUAGAGCUAUCGGCUGUUAACCGAUCGGUCGCAGGUUCGAAUCCUGCCUGUGGAGCCA
rnacentral:tRNA from 1 species